GGGGCUGCCAAUGGGCUAAGGCCCUGUGUUCAACACAUGUCGCGGAACUGUCGUGAAAAAAAGACUCAGGACCACAGGUCCGGGGUGCUCCCAGGGGUCUUUCCCACCGAGGCUGGGAGUGAGCAGCAGCCUAGGCCCAGCCACACCUCCCAGGCUCGGGAGCUGCCAGGCCAGGCAACCGUGAAGGGUAGCAGGGUGGGGGGUGGAGGGGAGGACAGGGAGAGCAGGCCUCUCGGGCCUCACCCACCCUUGCACCUUCCAGCUCUAGGGCCCACACAGUACCAAGCCCUGGGCUCAAUGUACCACUUAUGAAAACUCAAUUCAAAUUGGCUUAGUGCAACAAGGUAUUUGGUGGUCUCACAUGACUUGAACAUCCAGGCCUGGCUGUCACGGGAACCGCAUCUCUUCCCAUUGCAGCUACUUGGCAGGUGGCGGGAUGUCCCCCAGCCACCGACGUCCCCCUGCCUGCUCCGCAACCCCAGGGCCUGCAGAAAAGGCCCACGAGACUCAGACUGGCAGAGACUUAGGCGGACCAGGAACAGGGGCGCAGUCUCCGUCCCACCCAAACCCUAACCAGAGAGAACACGGCACGUUGUGCCAGACGGAGGACGGAUGCCAGCGAGGGUCCAUGUCCUCACUGCCGACAAGGCUGGGAACUGGGCCAAGUGAAGCAGAGGCCUCCACGUCAGAUGUGAGCGCCACCGGCCCAGGUGACUGCAGUUCUUCCCUCCUUCCGUUCGGCUUGAGCCCUCCAGAGGAUCGGAAAGGCUGAGGCCUGACCUGGUGCCGCUGUCCUGGGAAAUUUAACAGAAGUAUAUAAAAAGAAACCAGAAGUCACCCGGGAGUCUGAGCACUGUGCUCUCUGGGGCCUUUCCUUUCGGCCUUCUUCCUUCCAGCCCUUUCCCUGCACACUGGACAGAGUGGCUGAGUCUCUCUCGUAAGCCCACAGGGUUAUGAUCGCUGUGCAGGUAAGGAGACUACACGUGUGCCCCAUGUCAGAAGCACCUGUGCCUGGCCUGGGCACUGCACUGGGGGUGAGGCCUGGGGCCAGGCCCCACGUGGGGGCAGAACGGAGCUAUCCAUCCAGCCAGGGACCUCAUCUAGGGAUUGGGGGCAGCAAGGGGCUGGUAAGGGCCAGAGGUAAUUCCAGGGCCACUCUGUGCCCUACCCUCAGGUGGGGCACAAGGGUGGGGGCACUGCGCUGGGUAGAAGCCCCCCGCCAGCCCCUGGCCCACCAGUCAUCUGUCAGAUACGGAGGCAGGGGUGAGGGGAGGGUGUGCUGGGGAAGUCAAUGCAUCCAGCCUCGAAUCAGUGAGUCCCUAGGCCUUGGGUAAGGCAGGGCUGCAGGGAUGGCAGUGAGGACAAGGGGCUCACCUCCCCCCAGCAGCCCCACUUCACAUGUUUGUUUCUUGAGUUCAGUGCUCAUAGACUUAAAAAAAAAAAAUCUUGCUAAAAGCAAAAACCAAAAGAAAAGCGGGGGCUACAGAGCCUCAUUCCCAGAGGGGCUGCUCUGGCCCUAACAAGCAUUCUAGGCCAGACUUCCAUGGGCAGAUUGUGUGGGCAAGUGUUGAGUUAUGGAAAUCAAGCAAACCUCUCCACGCCUGUCCUCCAGGCCGCAAACACGCCCUUCUCCUGAGUCCGGGUAAGCAGAGGGCCAUGCACGGGAGACAGUGGGCCACGCCGGGCUGGGCUUCGUGCUUCUGGGGCCCCCGCAACUCACUCACGCAGCAGAAGUCUGCACUGUGCUGCCUGCAGCGGGGGCAGAAACCCGGAGCCAGUGAGCCUGUCUGUGCCACCUCAGCUACCCUGGUGGGUGGGUGGUGGGGGCCAUCCCAGGCCCCUCAGGGCUGCAGGCCAGGCUGGGCCCAUCUCCGCACGCUGCUGUGUGGCCUCACCUCCCAGCGCUGUCGAAGGCUGAGCUGCUGUGCUCGGAAGGGCAGACUCCUCCAUGGCUUCUAACUCAAGUGACACAAGGAGUGUCUCCCCACUGCUGUCCUGGGGCUCCUGGCCCUAGAAGGGCUCCCCAUGAUGCAGCUGUGGCCAUGGGCAGCCUUCCCCCGUCCCCCGGCGUCUCCACAGCUCUGUGAUGUCUGCUAGCCCCAUUUUAUCGAUUCAGACCCCGAGGCUUGGAGGGGACAGAAGGGUCCAGUCUAGGUCUCUCUGCGCCCAGAGCUAAUGCUCCUGUGAGCAGGGGGGACCUGCCAGUUCACCACACCCAACAGAAACCACACAGCUGGCACCAGGCACUUGGGUAUUGAACCAGGAAGCUUUAUUUACACAGUACAAGUAACAAGCAAAUUCCUGAGAGACUAGAGCGGCUGGAGUGCAAGCCACAGCCUGUGCGGGGAGGCCAGGCUGCAGGGGCGGGCAGACCCUGGGCCCCGGGUCUACGCUUUCUGGUCGCCACACUUCCUGAAGCACGGCAACACCCACAACAUCCAGCUCAGGGAAGCCCCUGCAGCCCCAGAAACAGCCUAUGUGCUAUCUGUCGCCCCAGCCCCCAGGACAGCUUCCCCACACACUGAAAACACAAAUCAUUUGCCAAAAAGACUAUGCUAGAAGGUCAGACUAUCCUAUCUAGGCUACAAGAUCUCCACUUCGGUCUGCCAUUAAAAAAAAAAAAAAUCUUUCUCUUCUUUUCUCUUUAAAGAGGCAUGACAGAGGGGUUUGACCAACAGCGUGGACAUGGCAAGGUGUGGCAUCAUUGCCAGUGUGGGGCCAGAGGGUGCCCGAGCCCCGGUGCGCGGCCAGCCUGCUGCAUCCCUGCCGGCUGACGUCUGGAGUGACCGUCAUUCCAGUGACCACCCCCAUAGCCACAGACGGCACGUCAGUGGAAACGGGGGUGCAGCAGGCAUGACACCAAGGCAGAGCCCGCAGCAGGGGGCCCGGGGUUCCACAGCUAGGGAAGCUUGCUCAGACAGGCAGCACACCCAGGGCACGGCCACUCACGCCCCCGCACCAGGAGACCCAUUUGGAAGUUAGUUAGGGUUUGUUUUGUUUUCUUUUUAAUGUGGACUUCCCCUUUAUUUAAAUUUUCUUUCAGUGUACAAAUUCACAAAACUGGCUACAAAAAUUUGGUUGAAAAGUAAGGCUUUCUGAGAAUGAAAAUCUGUACGUCUGGUCAGAACAAGCUCCCCACGGGCCCAGGUGCACGUCUGCCCGUGCAAAUCCGGCCUCCACCGCGAGUAAGGCAAGAGGGUAUGGCAACGAAAAUGGCAAGGCUGUGGCCCCAGCCCCUGGGCCCCACGGGUGGACGGCAGCCCCUGGCAGUUUGGUGGCUUUGGAAUGAGUGGGGUGCAUGUGGCACUAAGCCCCCCCCACCGCCCCGGCUUUCCUGCAGGCUUAGCCCGCGCUUUAGGACCCCAUGAGCAGGCAGAUGGCCUGGCACGGCUUGCUUCUGGCUCUGCCCUUCCUCAGUCUCCCCUCAGAGGCAGGGUUUGUGGGCAAGGCUGUGACAAAAGUAAGGCUCCUGCCACUGCCCCCAGCUGGGGCCAUCAUGCUGGUGGGGGUGAGCUGUCUGCCUGCUGCCCAUGGGGACACCAAUGUGGGGGGCACCUCCUAGGCGAACCUCCCUCCCAGAGGACUGAGAUCAGAAGUCCUGGGGCCAGCAGGGUGGAGUGCAGGAACAGGCUGCUCCGGGCAGUGUGGCAGCUUGGAUGAUGGGGUGGCACCUUAUAGAUAGGGUCUACUCCCUCCAGUCAAAACACAAACAUGAAACCAGCUAAAGGCCAUUUCUUUCUCUAAGCAGAAGGGAUAGCCACCAUUUUCUCCCCUGACUGCUGCGUGGUGGGCACAGGACAGGCAGGCGGGGUCUGAGGAGGCUGGGUCAUUUCUCCCUAAGCGCCCUGGGGCUGGGCUUGCUGGUCGAUGGGACCAGCUUGCGGGGAGGUGGGGAGGUGGCUGUGACUCAGCCAGCUCCACAGCUUGUCCCUUCCUGCCACCAGGCCUGAAUGGGGAGGUGGCAGGCAAGGUUUGAGGGCAGGUCACCCACACCCCAGUCCCACGACAUAUACCUGUCACCAUGUGCCUCCCACCCCAGCCCUAAGCAAAGGUAGCUGGGGGCUGCUGCAUGCCUCAGCCUCAGCUGGCACCGUCCACCUCCCUCACUGCCUCUGCCUUCCACAGGAAGGCCUGCUAUAGAGGCUGUGUGCCCUCGGCCACACCGGGCAUGUGGUGCCAGGACCCCCCACGCCCAGUGGUACUCCGGGGGCAAGACAUGGCCAUGUGCUCUCCACAUUCACCCAACAACUGCCCUGGCCGCCUCCACAUUUGCUCUAAGAAGACAUGGUCUCCAUGACCCCCAGGCAGGGACAGGCCAAGAUGUCUCUGUCUGCUCAGAGCCACCAGCUCUUGGGUUCGGCUGUCCGGGAUCACAAGUAGACAUGCCUCCGGCAGGAGCUACAGCAACCAGAGGUGAGCUGGUUCCCCGGCUCUGGGACCUGCCCAGUGCCCGGCAUACCCCAUGUGUCAGCCACCUGAGCUAGCAACACCAUCUCUCAGGGCUGUGGGGCUGGGGGCUUUCUGCCAGCUCCUUAAAGCUGAUUUUUAAGAAGUGCCACCCACAUAUUGGGAACUUGAACCACCAUCCUUUUGAUGUAGUAAAAAAAUAAGAUUUAAACAACGUUUCCCAAAAAGCAUCUUUCUUGAGGAGAAAGAAGGUGAGAAGCAUCUGGACUCAACCUGCAGAAGCGAGGCGUUCACUCGUCCAUGAAGACGAGCAAAAGCAAAGUGACUACAAAAGUGCUUUGAACGCGCGUGUCAGCCAACACAAGGGAGCGCACCAGUUAUUUUUAGCCUUAUGGGAAAAUGAGCCACUUGCUCCUAAGCCAGCCCAAUUGCUAUUGUUUGCAGAAGACGCCACAUUCGCUAAAAGCCAGAUUCCCA
rnacentral:lncRNA from 1 species